rfam:Trichosporon oleaginosus strain IBC0246 unplaced genomic scaffold CC85scaffold_70, whole genome shotgun sequence.
UCCUCCUUAGCUCAGUUGGUAGAGCGCGACACUAGUACCCUGAAGCCAUCAUUGGCCAGGCUAUGUCGAGGUCAGUCGUUCGAGUCGGCUAGGAGGAA